rnacentral:rRNA from 1 species
CCUGGGGAGUACGGCCGCAAGGUUAAAACUCAAAUGAAUUGACGGGGGCCCGCACAAGCGGUGGAGCAUGUGGUUUAAUUCGAUGCAACGCGAAGAACCUUACCUGGUCUUGACAUCCACAGAACUUUCCAGAGAUGGAUUGGUGCCUUCGGGAACUGUGAGACAGGUGCUGCAUGGCUGUCGUCAGCUCGUGUUGUGAAAUGUUGGGUUAAGUCCCGCAACGAGCGCAACCCUUAUCCUUUGUUGCCAGCGGUUCGGCCGGGAACUCAAAGGAGACUGCCAGUGAUAAACUGGAGGAAGGUGGGGAUGACGUCAAGUCAUCAUGGCCCUUACGACCAGGGCUACACACGUGCUACAAUGGCAUAUACAAAGAGAAGCGACCU